rnacentral:rRNA from 1 species
CUUCGGGUUGAGUGGCGGACGGGUGAGUAACGCGUGAGAAUCUGCCUUGGGGUCGGGGACAACCACUGGAAACGGUGGCUAAUACCGGAUAAGCCUUUGGGUAAAAGAUUUAUUGCCCCAAGAGGAGCUCGCGUCUGAUUAGCUAGUUGGUGAGGUAAAAGCUCACCAAGGCAGCGAUCAGUAGCUGGUCUGAGAGGACGAUCAGCCACACUGGGACUGAGACACGGCCCAGACUCCUACGGGAGGCAGCAGUGGGGAAUUUUCCGCAAUGGGCGAAAGCCUGACGGAGCAAGACCGCGUGAGGGAGGAAGGCUCUUGGGUUGUAAACCUCUUUUCUCAGGGAAGAAGCUCUGACGGUACCUGAGGAAUCAGCCUCGGCUAACUCCGUGCCAGCAGCCGCGGUAAUACGGAGGAGGCAAGCGUUAUCCGGAAUUAUUGGGCGUAAAGCGUCCGCAGGUGGCGAUUCAAGUCUGCUGUCAAAGCACGGGGCUUAACUCCGUUAAGGCAGUGGAAACUGAAUAGCUAGAGUGCCGUAGGGGUAGAGGGAAUUCCCGGUGUAGCGGUGAAAUGCGUAGAGAUCGGGAAGAACAUCGGUGGCGAAAGCGCUCUACUGGACGGCAACUGACACUCAGGGACGAAAGCUAGGGGAGCGAAUGGGAUUAGAUACCCCAGUAGUCCAAGCUGUAAACGAUGGAUACUAGGUGUAGCUCUUAUCGACCCGAGCUGUGCCGAAGCUUACGCGUUAAGUAUCCCGCCUGGGGAGUACGCACGCAAGUGUGAAUCUCAAAGGAAUUGUCGGGGCCUUCCACAAUCGGUGGAGUAUGUGGUUUAAUUCGAUGCAACGCGAAGAACCUUACCAGGGCUUGACAUGUCCGGUAUCCCGGUGUAAGCUGGGAGUCCCUUCGGGAGCCGGAACACAGGUGGUUCAUGGCUGUCGUCAGCUCGUGUCGUGAGAUGUUGGGUUAAGUCCCGCAACGUGCGCAACCCUCGUCUUUAGUUGCCAGCAUUAAGU